rnacentral:rRNA from 1 species
AGAUUGAACGCUGGCGGCGUGCUUAACACAUGCAAGUCGAGCGGUAACGCGGGAGCAAUCCUGGCGACGAGCGGCGAACGGGUGAGUAAUGCUUGGGAAUCUGCCCAUUAGUGGGGAACAACCAGCCGAAAGGUUGGCUAAUACCGCAUACGCCCUACGGGGGAAAGCGGGGGAUCGAAAGACCUCGCGCUAAUGGAUGAGCCCAAGUCGGAUUAGCUUGUUGGUAGGGUAACGGCCUACCAAGGCGACAAUCCGUAGCUGGUCUGAGAGGACGACCAGCCACACUGGGACUGAGACACGGCCCAGACUCCUACGGGAGGCAGCAGUGGGGAAUAUUGGACAAUGGGGGCAACCCUGAUCCAGCGACGCCGCGUGUGUGAAGAAGGCCUGCGGGUUGUAAAGCACUUUUAGUGGGGAUGAAAAGCUCAGGGUUAACACCUCUGGGUCUUGACCUAACCACAGAAAAGCACCGGCUAACUCUGUGCCAGCAGCCGCGGUAA